rnacentral:snoRNA from 1 species
AGAGGUACAAUGAGGAUCCAAUUAGUAGUGGUAUUCAUGAGAUUUAAAUAUCGAUGAAUCCAAUCACUACUUCACUAGUCCUUUUCAUUCUGAGUGCAAC